ensembl:snRNA U7 U7 small nuclear RNA
AAGCAUUAAAGCUCUUUCAGAAUUUGUCUAGCAGGUUUUCCAGUCUUUGUCAAAUGCCUUC